CCCUUAGACGUUCUGGGCCGCACGCGCGCUACACUGACGGAGCCAGCGAGUAUAAACCUUGGCCGAGUGGUCUGGGAAAUCUUGUGAAACUCCGUCGUGCUGGGGAUAGAGCAUUGUAAUUAUUGCUCUUCAACGAGGAAUUCCUAGUAAGCGCAAGUCAUCAGCUUGCGUUGAUUACGUCCCUGCCCUUUGUACACACCGCCCGUCGCUACUACCGAUUGAAUGGCUUAGUGAGGCUUCCGGAUUGGUUUAGAGAAGGGGGCAACUCCAUCUUGGAACCGAGAAGCUAGUCAAACUUGGUCAUUUAGAGGAAGUAAAAGUCGUAACA
rnacentral:rRNA from 1 species